rnacentral:rRNA from 1 species
AAGCGGUGGAUGAUGUGGUUUAAUUCGAUGCAACGCGAAAACCUUACCCACCUUUGACAUGUACGGAAUCCUUUAGAGAUAGAGGAGUGCUCGAAAGAGAGCCGUAACACAGGUGCUGCAUGGCUGUCGUCAGCUCGUGUCGUGAGAUGUUGGGUUAAGUCCCGCAACGAGCGCAACCCUUGCCUUUAGUUGCCAUCAUUCAGUUGGGCACUCUAGAGGGACUGCCGGUGUCAAACCGGAGGAAGUGGGGAUGACGUCAAGUCCUCAUGGCCCUUAUGGGUAGGGCUUCACACGUCAUACAAUGGUCGGUACAGAGGGUUGCCAAGCCGCGAGGCGGAGCCAAUCCCACAAAGCCGAUCGUAGUCCGGAUUGUUCUCUGCAACUCGAGAGCAUGAAGUCGGAAUCGCUAGUAAUCGCAGGUCAGCAUACUGCGGUGAAUACGUUCCCGGGUCUU